GAGGCAGCGGCCGCCGCAGUAACCGUCGGGGAUCGGUGCGAGCGGAAGAUGACGCAGAAGGGAAAUCUGUUCAAGGGCUUGCAGAAGAGGAGAACCAUCCCUCCCAAUCGCCAUGGGAAGACUUCUCAAACCCGGAAAGGGAAGAAGUUCUUGAAGCCGUCCAAGAUAUCCAAGGAGAUGGAAGCGGACCGAGUUAGUACUCUCAUCUUUCUCCCGAUUAUGCUAGCUUCGGUUUUGGUUGUUUCCUACAUUGCAAGGAUAUUUGAUCGCAAAAUUCUCUUUUCUGCUUGAUCUGAUAACAUGGAAUCUGUCUUUCGUCGAUCUUAGCUCUUUGAUCUCUUGUUUCUUCAAAACCUAUUGCGCCUUCAGUUUGUUGAUUAGGUCUCAAGGUUUUCCAGUAAAACGACUUCCCGGAACCCUAAUAAAGGUUUCAGCCACCAUAAACUUCAGAGUUUCCUUGUUGAUGGAAUACUGAUCUCAUCAGUUGCCCUUUUCCAUUACCCAAACAAAAAGAUAGAAUGACAACAAGAAGACGAAGCAUUGAAGAUUGAAGCUCCCUUUUCCAUUACCUUGAAUUGUAUAGUCAAAGGUAAGGAAGAUAUAAAGAGAAUUUUACGGGCUUAUAAUAUUUGUUUUGCCUUUUCCAUUCGUGGAUAAAGGAGUGCUUGAAUAUGGUAUUUACAUUGCCAUCGAAGUAGCAUUGGUCCAAUGGUAAAGUUGAGGUUGUAUGACCUAAAGAUCAUAGGUUCGAUUGAUUAUCGAAAACAGUCUCUUGUAAAAUAGGAUAAGGCUGAGUACAAUAAAUCUCACAUUGACAGGAGUUCAUGCACCGAAUUACCCUUACAUUGCCAUCGAAGUAGCCUGCCAAUAUACAUUGUUCGAAAAGAAUAGUUUUUUAGGCAUUUAUUCGAUGCAUUGACCUCGUGUGAGGAUCUCUGGGUAUUUGAGGCUUCUAGCUGAACAUGUAAUGCUUUUGUUUACACCUCAUCUUUUUGUUGAGG